AAGAUGGAGAACACUUAGAUCGACGUUUCAAACGAAGGCCCCAUCGUGUGGAAUUUAUUGUACUGCAUCAGUGAGUCAUCCGAGUAGUUAUUGCAAGCAGAAGCCGGUUGUUCGAAGGCUGAAUAGCGCUAUCCACCAGAUAGUGAUUUUUUUUAAAUGUUUGAAAAGCUAUAUCCUCAUAACAAAUAAAAAUAGGCUUUAAUGUACAAAUACCAAG